ensembl:lncRNA
CCAUAAUGCAUAAUGGAUUAAUAAUGCAUAGUAGAAAAUCCUGUUUUACACAUCUGCUCACAGAUCCCUAGUUGAAAACCCUGGUUUUAAUUUGCAGAUGAAAACUUUAGAUCCCUAUUACACAAAAACUUGUCCUUCUUGAUUUUAUAUUCCACCAAGACUUCCAGAGUGUCCGUAGGGUAGUUAACGGAAAGGUUUUUGGGCUACAUCAUCCUCAGUGCAGUCCACUGGCACUUUAUGUUUUUAGGAACAUGUUGUAUAAAAUACAGCAGGUCUUCACAGCUAAACUGGUUUGGCAAAUGGAAUGCUUCUGCAGACAUCUGAGCCGCUGAAAAGAAUUUCUCAGAGUACUGAUGGAGCCUUGCACCGCUGCAAGAGAUGACUGCACUUUCCGGUUAUAACAUACAUUUUUCUGUCCUAUUGUUGCAUAAUCUGGGAAUGGAGUCAGAAAGUGCUCUGAAAGUGGAAAGGUGAAAUUGCCAGUGAUGUGUUUGCCAUGUAAAAGUGUCACAUGGUCUUUCUGCAAUGCCUUGUCAACCUCUGAUGCUGACAGGACUCUUGAGUUAUGCCAGUUUCUAUGGUGCACCAGACACAGGUGAAAUGACCCUUGUGGUUGCAAGAAGCCAAGAGUUUUACAGCAUACAACCCCUCUGCGUUUCUAUGUACCUCUGGAUCUGGCACAUCGGUAGGUUUCUCAACAGGAAUGAAACACAUUCCUACUACACAGAGAGUAUCUGAUAACCCCACAGUAGAAAAGAAGCCCACCACAGAUAUUUCUGCUUCCUCCCACUGAAGCCAAUGAGUUUCAUUAUCCAAGAUACUGGUAACAAGGGUGCAGAAUACAUCCAGCUGAUCACAAAUGAGUGACUCUGUGACGUGUAGCGGUUUGCCACACUGUGGUAAGACUCUUGGGUAGAAAGAGCCCACAGACUACCAAGCACAGGAUGCCACACUGUCUAUUCCUCUUGCCUAAUGGAAGUCCAUUUCCAAGGCGCCAACAGCCGUACCAACUCCUACAAACACACACAAAAAACAAUUUUGUUUUACA